rnacentral:tRNA from 1 species
UAAGAAGUGGUGUAGUGGAUGCAUUUAAAGUUUUGAGCUUUAAGGGGCGGGUUCGAAUCCUGAGUUCUUAG